AAGGUUUCAAAUCUGGGGAGUUGCCCUUGCUCUUCUUCUUUUUCCACAUAACUAACACUUGAUUUUCUGACUAGAGAGAAUAUUUCAACCCUUUUGGAUUUCUUCUUCCUGCAAAUAAGAAAUUGAAUUUAGAAAUGCAGCUUAGACAAAGAGAUAAGAGUGCAAAAUUAACAACGUGGUCUUCAAGUCUCAAAGCAUCGAAAUUUGAUUCAUUCACAGUUUGAAAUAUGUGUAAGAUCCUGCGCGUGUUCCAACAUAUCCUCCUGAUAUAACUGACACCGGCUGGAAAAUUCUGACAUCUCUUAGCUAAUCUCCUAGCUAAGAGACGUCAGAAUUCUUAACUUAGAACUAAGCUAAUCUCCUAAUUAAGAACAUGCUAAUCUCCUGGCUAAGUAGGAGAUCAGGCAAGAAACCUCGAAAACCAACUCAUAAACCACUCUAUAAAAUUCUAGGAGGUUCCUGUAUAUCACUAAUCGCUGAAAAAGUACAAGCUCAAAACUCAAACAGGAAAUCAGUUUCUCCCCUUUUAGUCCUCAACUCCACUUGCGAUUGCCAUCCUAAGCUGAACUAUAAAUUCCACCGGCUGAUCAAGCUGACUUAUGGGAUUGACCGCAAUCUGCUGAGGUGGAGGGAAACGAAAGGCAGUUCCGGGAGCUCGG
rnacentral:lncRNA from 1 species